UUUAAUACGUAAAAGUCAUGUAGGGAUCAAUUUACUUGGGCGAACGUUGGAAUCAGCUGAUAGGGCCGUUACUGAAAUAUGUGUUUGCUUUUUAUGCGUUAACAAAACACUCUCGCUUUUAUUUACUCUUCAAUGGUACGCGUGAGUCGGGAAAUCCGAUGCGAUAUUAUUCCAAAGUCGUUAGUUGCUCGGAGCGAUGGCACUUCGAGGUCUAGAAGAAGAAUUUGUACAAAGCGAAUGCGUUUCCAAAUUAAUAUCUGCAACAAAAUUGAAAGUUCGAAAAAUUAUAAGGUGGUUAAUCACUAUACUAAGAAGAAGGAGAGCUCAUAGGAGAAAUUUGUUACCUGUUUUCUUGCAGGGUGUGCAAAGAAGGGACGUUGCACUUGAAGCCGACCAGACAAUUAUAAGAAUUUUGUUGCAAAGUAACAUACUUGCCUCAUGAAUAAUUUUCUGAAGUUAGAUUUUUGACGUGGAGCUAUGUCUAUGUAUUUGAAACAAGGGACCUGGUUGAUGAUAAACGUAUUUGAAGAUAGAGGUUGCUAGAGAAACGUACAAAUACAAACACGGAAAAGCAAACUUUCAAUAUACGAGUGGAAUACACGUGGAAAAUAUUUCGUGAUGACGUCACAUCUAAAAUCAAACAUUACGUCAAUAGUUGCGAAUCAAAAACACAUGUAAGGAUGGGUGUGUUACACCUAACUAUAUAUAUAAUAAAGGAAAUAAAUAACAUCAAGAUUAUGCUAAUGUUUGAAAACCGUUGAUAUUGAUCAUGAUAUGUAUGAAAUGUAAUAGUUUUCCCUAAUUAAGCUUUGGCCACACGUGGUCGUCCUGUUCCACCAAGCAACAUCCUUUGCUGGACCAAACAAUCAAGAGCAAUAAACGUUUCGUAUUUCAUUGUGUACAUUAAAAAUUGGAAUUGGCCUAACAGUUAAAUCAAAUUUCCGUGCGACCAAAUCAGAUUAUCUUUUGUUUGUGUCAUAUUUCAUGUAAUUCUAACACAUUGACAAUCUUUAGUCUGCUAAUCAGCUUCACAAAUGAUUACUCAGGUAUCUAUCUCAUUAUACAUCUUCAGGUCAAAUUUUCUUCUAUUUUAAAUUCUGCACGUUUGUUUUAGUUUAAUGAAUAAAACUGCUAGAAAUCUAUAUUUAAAGGUAUAUAAAUAUGUAUAUAAAUUGAAAGUUCUAUAUUUAGAUUAUGCUUGUAAUAUAAAAAUAAACAUAAUAUUUA